GACGACGCUGGCGGCGUGCUUAACACAUGCAAGUCGAACGAGUGGCGGACGGGUGAGCAAUUUCUGGGAAACUGCCUGAUGGAGGGGGAUAACUACUGGAACCGGUAGCUACAACCGCAUACCAUCAGAUGUGCCCAGAUGGGAUUAGCUAGUAGGUGGGGUAAUGGCUCACCUAGGCGUCGAUCCCUAGCUGGUCCUAGAGGAUGACCAGCCACACUGGAACUGAGACACGGUCCAGACUCCUACGGGAGGCAGCAGUAGGGAAUAUUGCGCAAUGGGCGCAAGCCUGAUGCAGCCAUGCCGCGUGUGUGAAGAAGGCCUUCGGGUUGUAAAGCACUGUCAGCGAGGAGGCGUUACUCGCAGAAGAAGCACCGGCUAACUCCGUGCCAGCAGCCGCGGUAAUUC
rnacentral:rRNA from 1 species